rnacentral:rRNA from 1 species
CGGAGGGUGCAAGCGUUAUCCGGAUUCACUGGGUUUAAAGGGUGCGUAGGUGGCUUUAUAAGUCAGUGGUGAAAGCCCGGAGCUCAACUCCGGAACUGCCAUUGAUACUGUUUAGCUUGAAUCAGGUAGAGGUGGAUGGAAUAUUACAUGUAGCGGUGAAAUGCUUAGAUAUGUAAUAGAACACCGAUUGCGAAGGCAGUUCACUAUGCCUGCAUUGACACUGAGGCACGAAAGCGUGGGGAUCAAACAGGAUUAGAUACCCUGGUAGUCCACGCCCUAAACGAUGUAUACUCGACAUCAGCGAUAUACUGUUGGUGUCUAAGUAAAAGCGUUAAGUAUACCACCUGGGAAGUACGACCGCAAGGUUG